rnacentral:rRNA from 1 species
CUUGCCUGCUUCGGUGAUUCUACCGGCUUGGUCACAAACUGCGCUAAGAGCCUUGUUGCGCCUAUCUGAUGUGAGAGCAUUGACCUUAAUGACAUCCUGCGGUCCUUCCCAGCUUGUCGUUCUUCCUUCCCCAUCUGAUACCUAGGCCUACCACUCGCGAUCAAAAGGUUAAGGAGGGUUCACCUGCAACAUUUAGAAGAUAAAGUCACCGGGAAGCUUGCACCAUGGAGAGGGAGACAUGUGGCUAUCGCGGGCCACAUGACCCCAGUCAAGGUGGUCCUCAUGGCGGUGUAA